rnacentral:rRNA from 1 species
GGAGCGUUCUGUAAGCCUGUGAAGGUGGCCUGUGAGGGUUGCUGGAGGUAUCAGAAGUGCGAAUGCUGACAUAAGUAACGAUAAAGCGGGUGAAAAGCCCGCUCGCCGGAAGACCAAGGGUUCCUGUCCAACGUUAAUCGGGGCAGGGUGAGUCGACCCCUAAGGCGAGGCCGAAAGGCGUAGUCGAUGGGAAACGGGUUAAUAUUCCCGUACUUGGUGUUACUGCGAAGGGGGGACGGAGAAGGCUAUGUUGGCCGGGCGACGGUUGUCCCGGUUUAAGCGUGUAGGUGUGUGUUCCAGGUAAAUCCGGUUCACUUUAACACUGAGGCGUGAUGACGAGGCACUACGGUGCUGAAGCAACAAAUGCCCUGCUUCCAGGAAAAGCCUCUAAGCAUCAGGUAACAUCAAAUCGUACCCCAAACCGACACAGGUGGUCAGGUAGAGAAUACCAAGGCGCUUGAGAGAACUCGGGUGAAGGAACUAGGCAAAAUGGUGCCGUAACUUCGGGAGAAGGCACGCUGACACGUAGGUGAAGUGAUUUACUCAUGGAGCUGAAGUCAGUCGAAGAUACCAGCUGGCUGCAACUGUUUAUUAAAAACACAGCACUGUGCAAACACGAAAGUGGACGUAUACGGUGUGACGCCUGCCCGGUGCCGGAAGGUUAAUUGAUGGGGUCAGCGCAAGCGAAGCUCCUGAUCGAAGCCCCGGUAAACGGCGGCCGUAACUAUAACGGUCCUAAGGUAGCGAAAUUCCUUGUCGGGUAAGUUCCGACCUGCACGAAUGGCGUAAUGAUGGCCAGGCUGUCUCCACCCGAGACUCAGUGAAAUUGAACUCGCUGUGAAGAUGCAGUGUACCCGCGGCAAGACGGAAAGACCCCGUGAACCUUUACUAUAGCUUGACACUGAACAUUGAGCCUUGAUGUGUAGGAUAGGUGGGAGGCUUUGAAGUGUGGACGCCAGUCUGCAUGGAGCCGACCUUGAAAUACCACCCUUUAAUGUUUGAUGUUCUAACGUGGACCCGUAAUCCGGGUUGCGGACAGUGUCUGGUGGGUAGUUUGACUGGGGCGGUCUCCUCCUAAAGAGUAACGGAGGAGCACGAAGGUUGGCUAAUCCUGGUCGGACAUCAGGAGGUUAGUGCAAUGGCAUAAGCCAGCUUGACUGCGAGCGUGACGGCGCGAGCAGGUGCGAAAGCAGGUCAUAGUGAUCCGGUGGUUCUGAAUGGAAGGGCCAUCGCUCAACGGAUAAAAGGUACUCCGGGGAUAACAGGCUGAUACCGCCCAAGAGUUCAUAUCGACGGCGGUGUUUGGCACCUCGAUGUCGGCUCAUCACAUCCUGGGGCUGAAGUAGGUCCCAAGGGUAUGGCUGUUCGCCAUUUAAAGUGGUACGCGAGCUGGGUUUAGAACGUCGUGAGACAGUUCGGUCCCUAUCUGCCGUGGGCGCUGGAGAACUGAGGGGGGCUGCUCCUAGUACGAGAGGACCGGAGUGGACGCAUCACUGGUGUUCGGGUUGUCAUGCCAAUGGCACUGCCCGGUAGCUAAAUGCGGAAGAGAUAAGUGCUGAAAGCAUCUAAGCACGAAACUUGCCCCGA